AACGACUCUCGGCAACGGAUAUCUCGGCUCUCGCAUCGAUGAAGAACGUAGCGAAAUGCGAUACUUGGUGUGAAUUGCAGAAUCCCGUGAACCAUCGAGUCUUUGAACGCAAGUUGCGCCCCAAGCCUUCGGGCCGAGGGCACGUCUGCCUGGGUGUCACAAAU
rnacentral:rRNA from 2 species